GACAGAGGGUGCAAACGUUGUUCGGAAUUACUGGGCGUAAAGCGCGUGUAGGCGGCUCGGAUAGUCGGGUGUGAAAGCCCCGAGCUUAACUUGGGAAUUGCGCUUGUGACUGGCGUGCUGGAGUGUGGCAGAGGGAGGUGGAAUUCCACGUGUAGCAGUGAAAUGCGUAGAGAUGUGGAGGAACACCGAUGGCGAAGGCAGCCUCCUGGGCCAGCACUGACGCUCAUGCACGAAAGCGUGGGGAGCAAACAGG
rnacentral:rRNA from 1 species